rnacentral:rRNA from 1 species
UGGGGAAUCUUGCGCAAUGGCCGAAAGGCUGACGCAGCGACGCCGCGUGGAGGAUGACGCCCUUCGGGGUGUAAACUCCUGUUGCCCGGGACGAAUGCCCCUUUUGAGGGGAGUGACGGUACCGGGUGAGGAAGCACCGGCUAACUCUGUGCCAGCAGCCGCGGUAAGACAGAGGGGGCAAGCGUUGUCCGGAAUCACUGGGCGUAAAGCGCGCGUAGGUGGCAUGGUACGUGUGGUGUGAAAGCGGACGGCUUAACCGUCCGAGGCCAUCACAGACUACCGAGCUCGAGCCGUUCAGAGGUCAGCGGAAUUGCCGGUGUAGGAGUGAAAUCCGUAGAUACCGGCAGGAACACCCACGGGGAAGCCAGCUGACUGGGAACGUGCUGACACUGAGGCGCGAUAGCGUGGGGAGCGAA